GAAUGAGAUGAGUGCCGCAGCGUCUGAGUGUACGAGGGACGUCUCCGGGCUGCUUUUAGAAACACAAAGAAAGCCGAGAGCUUCGGUCGACAUCAGCAUCAUCGUCAACGCUCACAUCCUCAACGGGCUUUGAGAUGGGAAGUUUUCCUAUUUCCCGGUUGUCAUGAACGCAGCAUCAAGCCAUAGGGUGGACACUGGGGCUCGGACCCCUCCCUCCUCGCUGGCCUGCUGGCCUGUCCACAAGUUAGAGGCUGAUUGAGGGCUUCACACCCCUCUGCGAUGUUGACCCGCCAUAAAUAAAACACACAGAGCCUCACGGGCCCGCCGGACAGACCGCCGAGCAAACACUCCCUAAAUCACAGACUGAUAGAGAAACCAGGGGGAUGCAGGUGAACCUCCACGGCUGUUCGCCUGCCAUCCGAGGAUGGACGACCAUGUGGCUCUGAGUCCAGCCUGGGACCUUC